rnacentral:rRNA from 1 species
CCUACGGGAGGCAGCAGUGGGGAAUAUUGCACAAUGGGGGGAACCCUGAUGCAGCGACGCCGCGUGAGUGAAGAAGUAUUUCGGUAUGUAAAGCUCUAUCAGCAGGGAAGAAAAUGACGGUACCUGACUAAGAAGCCCCGGCUAACUACGUGCCAGCAGCCGCGGGAAUACGUGGGGGGCAAGCGUUAUCCGGAUUUACUGGGUGUAAAGGGAGAGCAGGCGGCUGUGCAAGUCUGGAGGGAAGGGCUGGGGCCCAACCCCGGGAACGCUCUGGAAACUGUAAAGCUGGAGUGCAGGAGAGGUAAGCGGAAUUCCUAGUGUAGCGGUGAAAUGCGUAGAUAUUAGGAGGAACACCAGUGGCGAAGGCGGCUUACUGGACUGCAACUGACGUUGAGGCUCGAAAGCGUGGGGAGCAAACAGGAUUAGAUACCCCGGUAGUC